rnacentral:lncRNA from 1 species
AAAACAUUCUUUUGCUCUCUCUUUUCUCUGAUUAUUUACUACUGUUCUAAGUCAUCCGGGUGCAAGCCAAGGUUGAUUACUCUACUCUCUUGCCCCCACACUUUGUGUUUACUUCUUUAUCUUCAAGUAGCAAAACAAUGCGUUUCUUUUACUACUUCAUUUCAUCUUGUUUCUAGUAUGUUUUCACUUAUGGCGCUGUUGAUUCAACUUGUAAUUGAUGUGUUUACUUCAUCACUUCAUCAACAUGCUUCUGAAUGUCUCCCCUCUCCUUAGGCUCAUCAUGUUUAUAAAAUUGUUAUUCCCCUUCCUAAUAUACCCCAAUGUGGCCCUUCUUUACUUGUGUUUUCUUUGGUUUCUAGCAUGAGCCUCUCUCUGUAGAAAAAUAGUUGGCUAUCCUCAAGUUACAUGAUUUUGUGUUAAAUCUGAAGUUCUCUCACUCCUCACCAUAUUGCUGAUUUUAUACUUAAGUACUCCUGCAACUAUGUGUUUACUUAUGUCAUAUACGUGUCCCCGGCCUUAAUCCUAUGUUUCUUAAUUAUAUGUGAACCUGUUUUGGGUGUUAUGUUUGAACUGUUGUUUGGUACUCUACUCUCUUUCCAAAACUGUCAUAUUGAACAACUCCCCUAUUGUUUUGCAAAACUAUAUCAGACAAGUCUAUUUUUUUAAACUGUUUCCUUGCUUAAAUCUCUUCAAAACUAUGUCAAGCACUCUCACUCCACUCUUAGACCACUAAGUUCUGCCCCUUUUGUG